rnacentral:lncRNA from 1 species
UGGUUUAUACAUUAUUUGAGAAUUAUUGUGUUGGUAUGAGAAGGUUGAUAUAAGGAGUGAUAAGGGUAAUAGGAAAAAUCCAUUUUUGUUAUGUAUGAUUGAAAAGUUAGUGGGAGUGACGUGGGGAGUAGUCAGUGACACAGAUACCGUAGAAUGAUAGUGGAUGGAUCUGAUACAUGGUCGAUGUUGAAUUAUUUUAAGUAAUGAAAAAGAAUGGACAAUGAGAAUGAUUAAUUGAGGUCUAUCUAAUUAGUGGCCUUCUUGGAUUUCAAUUACAACAAAUAACACUUGAUUUAUGGCUCCCACCAAGCAAAAAUUAUCCACUCAUGCCCCCACCUAUACAUUGCAAUUUGCGUAUGGAAUACCUCUUCACCUCAACUUGUCUUCUCAAUUAACACUUCUGGAAUUAUGUCAAACCAAAAUGCUCGCUAUUAUUAUAGGAAACACAAUAACAAAUCUUCCACACCAAUUACUAUUCAUUUCUCUCUUCAUAUCAUCAACUUUUUUAAGACAUCAUAAUAACUGUAUCUUAAAGAUACCGUCUGUUGAAAGUUUCACAUCGACUAGAGAUAAGACUAAUUUAUAUAAGUAAA